rnacentral:rRNA from 2 species
UGGGGAAUAUUGGACAAUGGGCGAAAGCCUGAUCCAGCCAUGCCGCGUGUGUGAAGAAGGUCUUCGGAUUGUAAAGCACUUUAAGUUGGGAGGAAGGGUUGUAGAUUAAUACUCUGCAAUUUUGACGUUACCGACAGAAUAAGCACCGGCUAACUCUGUGCCAGCAGCCGCGGUAAUACAGAGGGUGCAAGCGUUAAUCGGAAUUACUGGGCGUAAAGCGCGCGUAGGUGGUUCGUUAAGUUGGAUGUGAAAUCCCCGGGCUCAACCUGGGAACUGCAUCCAAAACUGGCGAGCUAGAGUAUGGUAGAGGGUGGUGGAAUUUCCUGUGUAGCGGUGAAAUGCGUAGAUAUAGGAAGGAACACCAGUGGCGAAGGCGACCACCUGGACUGAUACUGACACUGAGGUGCGAAAGCGUGGGGAGCAAACA